AAUCAACGCUGGCGGCGCGCCUAACACAUGCAAGUCGAACGAGAAAGCCGCAAGGCAAGUAAAGUGGCGCACGGGUGAGUAACACGUGGAUGAUCUACCUUUUAGUGGGGAAUACCGUUGGGAAACCGACGACAAUACCGCAUAAGCCCGAGAGGGGAAAGCCGAAAGGCGCUGAAAGAGGAGUCCGCGGUCGAUUAGUUAGUUGGCAGGGUAAAGGCCUACCAAGACUGUGAUCGANAGCCGGCCUGAGAGGGCACACGGCCACACUGGCACUGAAACACGGGCCAGACUCCUACGGGAGGCAGCAGUGGGGAAUCUUGCACAAUGGGGGAAACCCUGAUGCAGCGACGCCGCGUGAGCGAUGAAGCCCUUCGGGUGUAAGCUCUUUCGUCAGGGAAGAAUAAUGACGGUACCUGGAGAAGCAGCUGCGGCUAACUACGUGCCAGCCGCCGCAGUAAU
rnacentral:rRNA from 1 species